CAGACCGCGUUGAGCACGCUGAGGAGAGGUGGAAAAAAAUCACAGAAUGAAAACAUUUCUCAUUGUUGUACUCUCUCUCUACUCCAUCCAGCAUCUGCAUGCUCCAUGUUAAUAAACCCUCCA